AUUUUGACUGAUUAACAUGGGAAUUUUUAUAUUUCUAGUUUGUGCUAUUAUUUUACAAAGCUUAUCAACAUGUGUCGCCCAAGGCGAAACAACAAUGGUAUCUCUCAUUUUUGAGGCGCCGAUCGUAGAAGAUGUCCUAAUAACAGACAUACCGGAAGAAGAUCAGGAUGCAGCCAUGUUCCUAGAUUAUGGAAAAUAUACAACAACUAUAUUUGAAUAUAUCAAUGGCCAGUACAGUGGAUUGAAUAAGGAUGAGAGAUGUGAUGAUGAUUACAGCAAAUGCUUGAUUUCCUUGAGCAACCAUUCUCCCCUCUGUGCUAUGAACGAUCAUGAAGAUAAGCCGCAGGGAUUCCGAGUAUUUAAUAACUAUUGUGACUUUUAUUAUGACAACUGCCGACGAAAACACAGAUUUUGGCGUCCAUUGGGUUAUGGAAGUUGCUCUGCGAUGGAGAAUCCGAGCAAUCCAUAUUUUAAUCUGCCACCCAUAUUAAGAAGGUUUUUUGAAAAAUAUAUGAAACCUUUAGCGAGCGGGAGAUACAAUUAAAAGAAUAUUCGUGUACAGUCUCGUACAGUCGGAUCAUAUAUAUAGACCAGUUUGAAAGCUUUUGAAAAUAAUAAAAAGUGAAAAAAUAAUAAUAAGUAGUAGAAUGAAGGGGGGGUGUUAUAGGGUAAAAACGGUUUAUCUCGAUUUCCAGCAAAACAACAAAUCAUAUGGAAAAAAGUUAAAUGGCAAAGUUGUAAGUUAUAACCUCCCUUUUCCACUUCCCGACCUCAGAUCGCCCGUAAUUUAUUUUUCCUUUUCUUUUUUGUUAUAUUCUCCUCCAUUUCCAAUGGGUUUUAUCCUUCUAUUUUUUU